GUGAACUUAAGUGGAUUAGUGGCGGACGGGUGAGUAACGCGUGAGUAACCUGCCUUAGAGAAGGGGAUAGCCUUUGGAAACGAAGAAUAAUACCCUAUGACAUGAUAGCCUCGCAUGAGAUUAUCAUCAAAGAUUUAUCGCUCUAAGAUGGACUUGCGUCUGAUUAGUUAGUUGGUGGGGUAACGGCCCACCAAGACAGCGAUCAGUAGCCGGCUUGAGAGAGUGUACGGCCACAUUGGGACUGAGACACGGCCCAGACUCCUACGGGAGGCAGCAGUGGGGAAUUUUGCACAAUGGGGGAAACCCUGAUGCAGCGACGCCGCGUGAUUUAGAAGGCCUUCGGGUUGUAAAAAUCUUUUCUAUGGGAAGAACAUGACAGUACCAUAGGAAUAAGGACCGGCUAAUUACGUGCCAGCAGCCGCGGUAAUACGUAAGGUCCGAGCGUUGUCCGGAAUCAUUGGGCGUAAAGGGUACGUAGGCGGGUAAGCAAGUUAGAAGUGAAAUCCUAUAGCUCAACUAUAGUAAGCUUUUAAAACUGCUCAUCUUGAGGUAUGGAAGGGAAAGUGGAAUUCCUAGUGUAGCGGUGAAAUGCGCAGAUAUUAGGAGGAAUACCGGUGGCGAAGGCGACUUUCUGGCCAUAACCUGACGCUGAGGUACGAAAGCGUGGGUAGCAAACAGGAUUAGAUACCCUGGUAGUCCACGCCGUAAACGAUGAGUGUUAGGUGUCUGGAGUAAAUCUGGGUGCCGCAGCUAACGCAUUAAACACUCCGCCUGGGGAGUACGCGCCAAG
rnacentral:rRNA from 1 species